rnacentral:rRNA from 1 species
GAUGAACGCUGGCGGCGUGCCUAAUACAUGCAAGUCGAGCGAACGGACGAGAAGCUUGCUUCUCUGAUGUUAGCGGCGGACGGGUGAGUAACACGUGGAUAACCUACCUAUAAGACUGGGAUAACUUCGGGAAACCGGAGCUAAUACCGGAUGAUAUUUUGAACCGCAUGGUUCAAAAGUGAAAGACGGUCUUGCUGUCACUUAUAGAUGGAUCCGCGCUGCAUUAGCUAGUUGGUAAGGUAACGGCUUACCAAGGCAACGAUGCAUAGCCGACCUGAGAGGGUGAUCGGCCACACUGGAACUGAGACACGGUCCAGACUCCUACGGGAGGCAGCAGUAGGGAAUCUUCCGCAAUGGGCGAAAGCCUGACGGAGCAACGCCGCGUGAGUUAUGAAGGUCUUCGGAUCGUAAAACUCUGUUAUUAGGGAAGAACCUAUGUGUAAGUAACUGUGCACAUCUUGACGGUACCUAAUCAGAAAGCCCCGGCUAACUACGUG